rnacentral:snoRNA from 1 species
CUGGAUGUGGUGAUGAGGCUUAUGUGGACUAGAGUUUCUGAUCUGGCUUAAUCCCCAGUUCUGAAGACAACCCCUUGGCUGUCUGAGCAUUCUU